UGUAGGCGCUGCCGCAGGCUGCGAUCUUUUGAUCUUGUCUUUUAUAAAAUCAAAAGAUCGCAGCCUGCGGCAGCGCCUACA
rnacentral:misc_RNA from 1 species